rnacentral:lncRNA from 1 species
GCUAUUCCUUGAUGACUCCUGGUGUUAACAUUUUUCAAAUUGGGAUGAGAAUAAUAUGAUAUAUAUAAAAAUACUUUAUUCAGAUGCAAUACAGCUGAGCUUAUAUAAUAUACAAUUUACAACAAAUAUUAAUUUCAUGAGUGUCAUAUAUUAAUGAAAGUCAUUAUACAAAAUACAUAUAUGGCGAAGAAUGACAAUAAUCAUAUGAUAUAGUUAGUACACAUUUUUAUUUAGGUGCCAGCUGAAGUCAGUCUCCUUGCAGGAUAGGUGGCCUUGGGCUGUUUCCUGCUCUUUUGUCAGGUUGUUGUCUCAAUUUGACACAUUCCCCAUUUCCAUUCUCAAUUUAAUUUUUGCUUAAAAAUCAUGUUUUUUGAGAUACAUGUACUACUUUUCCUGCUGGGAUUUAUGCAGGUAUGAUAUGCUAUUCCAUGAUGAUUCUGUUGUCAAAUGCCAAAAGAAUUAAAAACUUGUAAUGCUUUAGUGUAUACUUAACGGUGGGUCUCAUUGGGGUCUAAGCGUGACGUGGGAUUGUCAAUUUUUUGUAAGCUUGACACGUGAAAGUCAAAUUAUUGUGCCGUAAAAACAGGAAAUGAAGUAAAGCAGGACACAGGAAAUUACAAAAAUAUUAGAAUUGCUUACGUACAUAGUGUAAGCUGGAUACGAGAAUUUGACAAAACAGUAAGUGGGAUCCGGGAUCAGAACCUUCCAAUUAGACCCCCUUAACAGGCAGAAAAAAACGACAAGUCAGUGUCCUAGUAUUUGAGAUAUAAGCCAUUUAAUUCUCUGCUUAUAUUGCUGUCAAGUUGCUGACAUCAUAUGAAGCCUUUCUAUAUAAAGUAGAGAAAAGUGUGACAAAAAUAUAGGUUUUCAAGAUACAAAUGUAUGGAAAAAAUUAUCAGCAUGCAACAGGAAGUAGCUGUCUGACAAAUCAAGGUCAUGCAUGCUGCUGACCAAACAUGAAGUCAUUCUGCUGAUGAGAAUUCAUAGUAAAAGUCAAAAAUAUUGGUGUUUAUUUAUAGUGGAUUUAGAAACAAGUUAUUACAACUUAUAUUAACCCGAUGCAAGUGCUGCCUUGUAGCUAGCUGCAUUAGCCUGCUCUUUUUCGAAAUCUACAAGGGCGUCUUUUAUGUGCACAAGAUAUUGCUCUCUCUUAACACUAAUCAGCCAAUUAUCGUCCCCUUCUGACGGACUAUCGUUAUUUCUCAAGAUCAUACUUGCAAAUGGUGUCAAAGGGGGAGCCGAAAUUUCAGUCCCUGAAAUUUUCUCAGCAGAUCGAACCAGGAAUCUUUGUGUUUGUCCUUUGAACUUUGUAGUCCAAUACACUAACCACUAUACACCACAGCUAUUAUUGGUGUCAAAAAUAUAAAUUGAACAAAGGAUGGCAAAGGUAAUAUCAAUACAGCCCCCACUCUUAGAAUACAAAUUGAAUAUAAUAUAUGAAGAUUCUUGAGAUCAUUCAAUGCACUCACAAAACAAAUGGCUACAUAUUGUGAAAAGCAGCUGUUUCUUUUAAGUAGUAGUAUGCAGAUAACUGGCUGAUAGGUAGAUCAACCUGUUUCCCCAAUGCAUAUAUACAAUACAUAGGCUGUCAGCAAAUGUUCAAUAGAAUAAUCAGAACAGUGUAAUUAUUAAGCAUUAUAAUAUUGACAUAUAUAAAUGUAAAAACACAAUACAAAUAUCUAUACAGUAAGAAUCUUUUUUACAUAUAAUGUUGGGCAUUUCAC